rnacentral:rRNA from 1 species
UUUAAAUGACUCUCGGCAACGGAUAUCUCGGCUCUUGCAUCGAUGAAGAACGUAGCGAAAUGCGAUACUUGGUGUGAAUUGCAGAAUCCCGUGAACCAUCGAGUCUUUGAACGCAAGUUGCGCCCGAAGCCAUUAGGUUGAGGGCACGCCUGCCUGGGUGUCACAC